rnacentral:rRNA from 1 species
CCUACGGGUGGCAGCAGUGGGGAAUAUUGCUCAAUGGGGGAAACCCUGAAGCAGCGACGCCGCGUGAGUGAAGAAGGAAUUCGUUAUGUAAAGCCCUAUCAGCAGGGAAGAAAAUGACGGUACCUGAGUAAUAAGCCCCGGCUAACUACGUGCCAGCAGCCGCGGGAAUUAGUAGGGGGCAAGCGUUAUCCGGAUUUACUGGGUGGAAAGGGAGCGUGGGCGGGAAUGCAAGUCUGGUGGGAAAGGCGGGGGGUUAACCCCCGGACUGCCGUGGAAACUGUACGGCUUGAGUGGAGGAGAGGUAAGGGGAAUUACUAGUGGAGCGGUGAAAUGCGUAGAUAGUAGGAAGAACUCCAGUGGCGAAGGCAGCUUACUGGCCUCUAACUGACGUUGAGGCUCGAAAGCGUGGGGAGCGAACAGGAUUAGAUACCCCUGUAGUC